rnacentral:rRNA from 1 species
AUUGAACGCUGGCGGCAGGCCUAACACAUGCAAGUCGAACGAGUGGCGGACGGGUGAGUAAUGUCUGGGAAACUGCCCGAUGGAGGGGGAUAACUACUGGAAACGGUAGCUAAUACCGCAUACCAUCAGAUGUGCCCAGAUGGGAUUAGCUAGUAGGUGGGGUAACGGCUCACCUAGGCGACGAUCCCUAGCUGGUCUGAGAGGAUGACAAGCCACACUGGAACGGGGACACGGUCCAGACUCCUACGGGAGGCAGCAGUGGGGAAUAUUGCACAAUGGGCGCAAGCCUGAUGCAGCCAUGCCGCGUGUGUGAUGAAGGCCUUCGGGUUGUAAAGUACUUUCGGCAGGAAAGCGUUACCUGCAGAAUAAGCACCGGCUAACUACGUGCCAGCAGCCGCGGUAAUUC